rnacentral:rRNA from 1 species
AGCCUGAUGCAGCCAUGCCGCGUGUGUGAAGAAGGCCUUCGGGUUGUAAAGCACUUUCAGCAGUGAGGAAGGCGGGUACGUUAAUAGCGUGUUCGUUUGACGUUAGCUGCAGAAGAAGCACCGGCUAACUCCGUGCCAGCAGCCGCGGUAAUACGGAGGGUGCGAGCGUUAAUCGGAAUUACUGGGCGUAAAGCGCAUGCAGGUGGUUCGUUAAGUCAGAUGUGAAAGCCCGGGGCUCAACCUCGGAACUGCAUUUGAAACUGGCGGACUAGAGUACUGUAGAGGGGGGUAGAAUUUCAGGUGUAGCGGUGAAAUGCGUAGAGAUCUGAAGGAAUACCGGUGGCGAAGGCGGCCCCCUGGACAGAUACUGACACUCAGAUGCGAAAGCGUGGGGAGCAAACAGGAUUAGAUACCCUGGUAGUCCACGCCGUAAACGAUGUCUACUUGGAGGUUGUGGCCUUGAGCCGUGGCUUUCGGAGCUAACGCGUUAAGUAGACCGCCUG